rfam:Chelatococcus sp. CO-6, complete genome.
GGCCUUCCAUCGGGCCGAGAAGGUCCCUAUAUUCUGGGUGCCGUCGCAAGGCGGCUAUGGCGAUAAACGGCCAUCGCAAUAAACCCAUCGGACCCGGGGGCGGUACCCGGCGCCUCCACCCAAACGCGAGCGGGCCUCGCGUUUCGGCGGGGGCGAAAUAGGAUCGACGAGGGUGUAAAGGGUGCGCUUUCGCUCGGCAUGGUUCCGCCGUUAUCGGGCCGAACUUAUAGUUGCCAACGACAACUAUGCUCCGGUCGCCGCGGCUGCGUAACGCAGCUUAGGUUACCGAUCCAAAGUCCUGACGGUUAGCCCCGGCAGGCGGGGUUCGGAGGCACCUGGCAACAGAAGCCUCCACU